rnacentral:rRNA from 1 species
CAAAACAGGGAUUUAGAUACCCCUGGUUAGUCCACGCCGUAAAACGAUGUCGACCAAGCCGGUGGGGUUGCCUAGGCGCACUUUUGUGGCGGAAGUUAAACGCGAUAAGUUCGACCGCCUGGGGAGUACGGCCGCAAGGUUAAAAACUCAAAUGAAUUGACGGGGGGCCCGCACAAGCGGUGGAGCAUGUGGUUUAAUUUCGAUGCAACGCGAAGAACCUUACCUACUCUUGACAUCCUGCGAAUUUGGUAGAGAUACUUUAGUGCCCUUCGGGAAACGCAGAGACAGGUGCUGCAUGGCUGUCGUCAGCUCGUGUUGUGAAAUGUUGGGUUAAGUCCCGUAACGAGCGCAACCCUUGUCCUUAUUUGCCAGCGCGUAAUGGCGGGAACUCUAAGGAGACUGCCGGUGACAAACCGGAGGAAGGUGGGGACGACGUCAAGUCAUCAUGGCCCUUACGAGUAGGGCUACACACGUGCUACAAUGGUCGGUACAAAGGGUUGCCAACUCGCGAGAGUGAGCCAAUCCCGAAAAGCCGAUCUCAGUCCGGAUCGGAGUCUGCAACUCGACUCCGUGAAGUCGGAAUCGCUAGUAAUCGUGGAUCAGAAUGCCACGGUGAAUACGUUCCCGGGCCUUGUACACACCGCCC